rnacentral:sRNA from 1 species
UAAGAACAUCGAAGUGAAUUUGAAAUAAUCAAUGAUAUAUAUAUAGAAUGAAAGCUUAAGAAGCGGUUUAAUAAUUCCAUGUUUAAUGAUUUUGAUACGUGUUUUUAUAAUAAAAACAUAUCGAACAUUGACUACAUUAUUAAGCUGCUUUUUGUACACUUUAUAA